UUGCUGAUGUGUGCCAUUGAGGUCACAGUGGUGGAAUAGCUCACAUCACAGCAGUACUGCAGGGAAUGAUACAGUGUCCUUAGGAAAGCCAAGCUGGGGGAGCAGGAAGAGGGCUCCUGCUGCACACAGGAGCAGUUUGUGCAUGCAAGAGCUCUGCAAUGGUCUGAGCAAGGGGACAGCUGAGAGUUUACCUGUCAGGAUCAGUGAGGUCUCCAACUUGUGCAUGCCAUGAACUAGGAAGGUGAAGAUCUGAAAUUCAUACUGGGCCUGAUCCUGCACUGAAUAGUGGUAAAACCAGAGUUAAGAAGAAUGGGAAAAAGUCAUGUUAUCAUACUUAAUCCUGAGAGCAAUACCACCAAGGCAAAUGGAAGGGCACAGUUCUUCUCCAGUAAUUUCAGUUCUACUUGCCAAAGGAGAUGGGUUGCUGAUUAAAUUUGUUUGAUCAUGCACCAACAGACUGAUGACCUCCCACUGCCUGCGGUAACUGCUCCCUCACUUUUUCAAAUGUGUGUCUUUACUAUUUUGACUUCAUCUGUAGCCUUGUUUAAUAAAAAUGAAGUAAUUUGUCUGG